AGGUCACAUAUUACAAAGUGCGCAGUAUUUCCUUUGUCACUUGAUUGUGUCAUUGUUAGUGAUUCACUGAGUUUUGAUUAACUUCUAUUAAAAUUAAUUACAUUGUUUUGGUACACGGAGCAAUAAAUAACCUCACUUUUUGAAUGUCUCCGUUUGACAGAUCAAUGCGUUACGUUCCAUUCUUUUAGUAUAGAAGAAAUGUAUAAUGAAAUUAAAUAUUCAACACUAAAUUUUUAUAAAACUUAAUAUUUAGGCUCUUUAAUUUAAAUUCUAGCUAUUUCUAGUAUUUUCCUCAAUGUUUAUAUUAAAAUAACAUUGUAAUGUAUCUUGAUCGAUCAUGGGUUCGGAACGUUCUAGAAAUUUGACAUAUUCUGAGCGAAACGAAACGCGCGGGAGACGGUCCGAAUAUUAUGAGUGACGUUUCUUCUGUUUCUAAACGUUAAAUAAAUUAAUUAAAUUUAAAUCGGAGGAGCAGUUUUGUGAGUUCUCAUAUCAAAAUUAUUCAAUAAGAGGCUGGUUGACUCAAAUAGAACUUAUUAGAAAAAGAAAUAAAAAAUAAAAACGAAGAAACAUUUUUAUGGUUUGUUAUUGUUGGGUUCGAUUCGGACCACAAGUCACGGGUGAUGACCGGCGCUUUUUGGAGUGACCUUUCCCUUUGCUCGGCUGGCCGUGCUCUUGGACGGAAGUUCGUUAGUGUGUGGUGUUGUGGCAUUCUGAGUCGGCCCUAAAUGUGCCAUUCCCAACUCAAACGGGCAGAACACGCAGAUUAUUGUUGUUGAAAUAAAGGAAUUCCGGUUGGACACCGAAAUCCCGCUGUUCGCCGAUUUUGUGGACUCACUGCCACGUGCUGAGUUUUAUUACUGUUGAAGAUUGUGUGUGGUUGGGCAGUGCUCGGUGGCGAGCCUCUGCGCUGUCUGCUGUUGCUGUCUAUUGUUGCUGUCUGUUGUUGCUGACGUUGCCUCCAUAGCAGGAGGUGUAUGGUACCGGCUGCUCUGUUGGCACCGGCUAUCAGGUGUUUGGCACCGGCUGUCCCGCAGUGCCGGACGCUUGCUGCGCCCGACGGGUGCGAAGGGGGUUGAGCCGAGUGGUGAUAUUAGCGCGCUGAUCUUAGUCUAGUAUUUUUAGUCUGUACCAACCAAACGGCCCAACGACCCAUCCCUUAUUUUUUCUUUUUAAAUAUUUGUGUCAACCACAAUAAAUUGUUAUCAAUUUAAAUAA